rnacentral:rRNA from 1 species
UACGGAGGGUGCAAACGUUGCUCGGAAUCAUUGGGCGUAAAGCGCACGUAGGCGGCCUGUUAAGUCGGAUGUGAAAGCCCCGGGCUCAACCCGGGAAGUGCAUUCGAAACUGGCGGGCUUGAAUAUGGAAGAGGGUCGCGGAAUUCCCGGUGUAGAGGUGAAAUUCGUAGAUAUCGGGAGGAGCACCAGUGGCGAAGGCGGUUGCCUGGGGCUUUGCUGACGCUGAGGCGCGAAAGCGUGGGGAGCGAUCCGG